CAUGAGGCUGAUGAGGAGAACGACAACACGGAUGAGGUUGGUUUUGAGGGUUUGGCAAACAAGUGGCUUAUUGACUCUGGGUGUUCACGCCACAUGACUGGUGAUACUAAAUGGUUCGCCUCCCUCUGCAAAGCGUCUGGUGAUGAAAAGAUCACUUUUGGGAAUGAUGCACAGGGUUGCAUUGUGGCCAAAGGAACAGUGCGAGUCAACGAGAACUGUCUUCUCAAGGAUGUAGCCCUUGUAAGUAAGUUGAGUUAUAAUUUGAUUUCAGUUUCACAACUUCUUGAUGAGGGUUUUGAGGUUCGUUUCAAGAAAUCUGCUUCUCGUGUUCUUGACUCUACUGGUGAUCUUGUCUUUGGUAUUUCUCGUGUUGGUAAAAUCUUUGGUGCUGAUUUUGGAGUGCUUUUGUCCUCUGGUCCA
rnacentral:rRNA from 1 species